rnacentral:rRNA from 1 species
GAUGAACGCUAGCUACAGGCUUAACACAUGCAAGUCGAGGGGAAACGACAUCGAAAGCUUGCUUUUGAUGGGCGUCGACCGGCGCACGGGUGAGUAACGCGUAUCCAACCUGCCCACCACUUGGGGAUAACCUUGCGAAAGUAAGACUAAUACCCAAUGAUAUCUCUAGAAGACAUCUGAAAGAGAUUAAAGAUUUAUCGGUGAUGGAUGGGGAUGCGUCUGAUUAGCUUGUUGGCGGGGUAACGGCCCACCAAGGCUACGUUCAGUAGGGGUUCUGAGAGGAAGGUCCCCCACAUUGGAACUGAGACACGGUCCAAACUCCUACGGGAGGCAGCAGUGAGGAAUAUUGGUCAAUGGACGGGAGUCUGAACCAGCCAAGUAGCGUGCAGGAUGACGGCCCUAUGGGUUGUAAACUGCUUUUAUAAGGGAAUAAAGUGAGUCUCGUGAGACUUUUUGCAUGUACCUUAUGAAUAAGGACCGGCUAAUUCCGUGCCAGCCGCCGCCGCCG